AGCCUCAAAAGUGAAACAGAAAGGAACAAAGAUAGUCAGGAAGUAAAAACUGAUGCUGCAGAACUGAUUUCUGAAGAUCUGACUAUGGGGAUAUACAAAGGUCCUCUACAGUACAAGUUCCAGCACCUUUGACCCUGAAUCCUGACACAGCACACUGUACACUUAAGUUCUCUGAAGACCUUACCAGUGUAAGAUGCAGUAAUAUUAAGCAGAAACUCUCUGACAACUCUGAGAGAUUUAAUUUGCAUACGUGUGUGCUUGGAAAAGAAGGAUUCACUUCAGGCAGACACUAUUGGGAGGUGAUGGUAAACAACAUGAAGGACUGGGAUGUGGGUGUCACCAGUGAGUCCAGUAACAAGAAGGGAGAAUUUGCAGCAGAGCAAAAGAACGGAUAUUGGAGACUUUCACUGAGGAAUGGUAAUAAGUUCCAAGUAAAUUCUUCACCGCGUGUGGAUCUCAGGCUGGCUGUGAACCCUGAGAGGAUUGGAAUCUACCUGGACUAUGAGGGAGGAGAGGUGGCAUUUUAUAAUGCUAGAAAUAUGUCCCAUCUCUACACCUGCAAUGACAUUUUCACUGAUAGACUCUACCCUUACCUCUGGGUCGGAGGUAAUGUGGAUGAGCAACUAACAUUGUUUCACCUGAAAAUGUAAUUUGUAAAAGAAACUAAACUAUUUUAGUUUUCAUUUGUCUUGCUUGUGCAUUACUUUAGUUCAAUUAAAAAAAGAAAAUUAUUAAAAAGAUGCAUAAUUCUCAAGUAAA